GUGUAGUCACUUUGGAAACACAUAUGCUAAAAUUUAAAUGAUACAGAGAAGAUUAGCAUUGCCUCUGUGUAAUGAUGACACACAAAUUCAUCAAGUCUUGUACAUUUUU